CGAGUCGACUAGGCAGUCGCUGCGUAUAAGGAUGUAUGUGGAGGAAAGUCCGGGCUCCAUAGAGCAAAGCGCCAGGUAACGCCUGGGAGGCGCAAGCCUACGGAAAGUGCAACAGAAAACAAACUACUCUACAUAUUUAUAUAUAGAGAAAAGGUGAAACGGUGCGGUAAGAGCGCACCGCGUUGCUGGUAACAGUAGCGGCAUGGCAAACCCCGCUUGGAGCAAGACCAAAUAGGAAUUCAAUUGCGUUGCUCGCGCAGAAUUCGGGUUGGUUGCUUGAGCUAUGCGGCGACGCAUGGCCCAGAUGAAUGACUGAACUAGACAGAACCCGGCUUAUCGGUCGACUCAUUUU
rnacentral:RNase_P_RNA from 3 species